rnacentral:lncRNA from 1 species
UAGGGAUAAAAUUAUCAUUUAAUUUAAAUUAUUUAACGGUGUUAGUGUAAAAAUAAUUAAUUGAUACAAAUUAAAAAAGAAAGGUGGUGCAGAUAACAUGUUAGAAUUUUAUGUUGGUUAGAUGAAUAUAAGACAGAAUAGAGAUGGAGCAAUAAUAAUUUCCCUAUACAUAAAUUUGUUAGAAGAAAAAAUUUGGUUCAUGUCUCAAAAAAGACACAGUUAUAACUGUAGAUGCUAAAUUAGAAUUUAUAAAUCUCUAUGAAUAUGAUAAUCAUUUAGAUCUUUAUAAAAAUAUAAUUAAAACUUUAAAAAGUUUUAAAAAUAGAUAUAAAAGAGAUGGAAGGAGAAAUCAUCCAACUAUUCAACAUUAAUAAAUUUAACAAUAUCACAAGAAAUUUAGCAAAUAUUGCAGAAGGGACCUAGUGGUGCCCACCGUGGUAUUUACUGUGGUAUGAAUAUCAUUAUUGUAAUAUAAAUUAUCAAUUAGAAAACUAAAAAUAAUUAGAGAAUCAUUAUAUUACGGAUAAAACUGUGGUGCAACCAUGCCACAGUUGCACCCAACCGUUGGAUUCCCACCAAUUCAAGUGGACCUCACUCAUUUAAGUGGAUCCAACGGCUGGUGCAACUGUGGCACGGUACCACAAUUGCACUGUAGCCCGACCCUUAUAUUACUACCCAAUUACUAAUCUGACUAAUUAAUCAACAUAUGUAUUCAUGUCCUUCUACUGUAUCACAUGUAUAUUGUAAUCAAUAAUGAAACAUUCAGUGCACAAGUGACUAAGAAUCUAAUAUAAUUUAAUACUCAAGACUCUCACCUCAUUAAAAUUCUCAAUAUUUUUUAAUGGCUUAUGAAUAAUGAUGAACCAUUUUUUAAAAUUAUCAUUAUAUAUAGGAAAAAUAUCCACCG